rnacentral:rRNA from 1 species
GGCGGCGUGCCUAAUACAUGCAAGUAGAACGCUGAAGGAGGAGCUUGCUUCUCUGGAUGAGCUGCGAACGGGUGAGUAACGCGUAGGUAACCUGCCUGGUAGCGGGGGAUAACUAUUGGAAACGAUAGCUAAUACCGCAUAAGAGUAGAUGUUGCAUGACAUUUGCUUAAAAGGUGCAAUUGCAUCACUACCAGAUGGACCUGCGUUGUAUUAGCUAGUUGGUGAGGUAACGGCUCACCAAGGCGACGAUACAUAGCCGACCUGAGAGGGUGAUCGGCCACACUGGGACUGAGACACGGCCCAGACUCCUACGGGAGGCAGCAGUAGGGAAUCUUCGGCAAUGGACGGAAGUCUGACCGAGCAACGCCGCGUGAGUGAAGAAGGUUUUCGGAUCGUAAAGCUCUGUUGUAAGAGAAGAACGAGUGUGAGAGUGGAAAGUUCACAACUGGGACGGAU